UACGGAGGGAGCUAGCGUUGUUCGGAAUUACUGGGCGUAAAGCGCGCGUAGGCGGCUUUGUAAGUUAGAGGUGAAAGCCCGGGGCUCAACCCCGGGAGGCGGGUGGAUACUGUCAAGCUCGAGUCCGGAAGAGGAGUGUGGAAUUCCUGGUGUAGCGGUGAAAUGCGCAGAUAUCAGGAGGAACACCAAUGGCGAAGGCAGCACUCUGGGACGUGACUGACGCUGAGACGCGAAAGCGUGGGGAGCAAACAGG
rnacentral:rRNA from 1 species